UUAGUUAGAAAGAAAGAAAGAUUAGUUAGAAAGAAAGAUAGAUAGAUUAGAUAGAAAGAAAGAACGAUAGAUUAGUUAGAAAGAAAGAUGGAUAGAUUAGUUAGAAAGAAAGAUAGAUUAAAAGAUUAGUUAGAAAGAAAGAUAGAUAGAUUAGAUAGAAAGAAAGAACGAUAGAUUAGUUAGAAAGAAAGAUGGAUAGAUUAGUUAGAAAGAAA